AAUCGUUACACAAAUCUUUCGCCUUUUACUAAAGAUUUCCGUGGAGGGGAACGUUGACGAGUUCUUCUUAUUUUUGAAGGCUCUGCCACGGUUAGGGGC
rnacentral:snRNA from 1 species